UUUUUUCUUCUUUAUCUUGUCAUGUGUCUGUUUGGGAGGGCCUUGCUUUUGUAGUGCACACACAGACAGCAUCAAACCUGGGGAAGGGCUUCAAUUCUCGAAGCUACUGGUUUCGGCACAAGGGACUUUCACACUGGGGUUCUUUAUCUUGGACACCCGCAGUUAUUUAGGAAUCUGGUACACAAGUGAUGUUAACAACAAGAAAGUUUGGGUUGCUAACAGAGACAACCCUAUAUCUGGCACCAACGCAAAUCUCAUGCUGGAUGGCAAUGGAACAUUGAUGAUCAUUCACAGUGGGGGUGAUCCAAUUGUCUUGAAUUCCAAUCAAGCAUCCAGAAACUCCAUAGCUACCUUGCUUGAUUCUGGAAAUUUUGUUGUGUCAGCGUUAAAUUCAGAUGGAUCUGUGAAGCAGACACUAUGGGAAAGUUUCGAUGAUCCUACAGACACGCUCCUGCCUGGGAUGAAACUAGGCAUCAACUUGAAAACCGGGAAAAACUGGUCACUUGCUUCGUGGAUAAACGAACUGAUGGGAUAAACGCAAACAAUGCACAACCAGAUUUUAUCCCCUCUUGUGAGAACCUAAUAGGAAUCAAUUUAAUAGAGUAACAACAAUUCACCCAAUGCAACAAGAAUAUGAAUACCAACAAUUUUUAGCGUGGAAAACCUUCCCAAAUGUGAGAAGUAAAAACCACGGGACCCUUAGGCCACUUAAACCCUCCACUAAUAUAAUCAAUGGGUUACACAAUUCUCUCUAGAUGAAACUAGAGGUUUACAUCAGCCAUAUCUCAAGACAAUUAGUCUUGGCAAAUACAAAACAACUUGCAUAAAACAAUGGAGAGAUCUCACCAAAACAGAGUCACUGUUCCCGGACACAAAUCACCACUGUUCCAAACUCCAAAUCCAAUCUCCACCGUUCAAAAUGAAGAUCAAUGAGUUAAGAACGUGCUAGCCAAAAAUCAUCUCGAUCAGACCACGGAUUAAUCUCGAUCAAGGCUGAAUAUCAGAACUGCCCGGGUGAGAAGAAAUCAGCAACAAAGACGCACUGUUCACGGACUGAAACAACAACCUUCCGAAACUCCAAAUCCGAUCUCCACCGUUCAGAUUAGAGAUCAAUGUGUUGAAAAUCUCUCCUUCAAAUUUCAGGUCGAUCGGACCACACACGAAGCGGGAUCGGCCGUUUGAUGAAAUCUGGACAGUAAAGAGAAGAAAAGAAAUUAGCGUUUUUCUUCUCUCUAACUUCAAAAAAUCAGUGGCUUUGGUCCUUUUUCUCUCCAACUUUCUCUUCUUUUUUCUUCUUACUCUCCUCCUAGGGUUGCAAAGAUGAAGAAGAAGAAGAGAAAAUGGUUUCUUCUUCCCUUUUAUACAUUAAGGCCUAAGAAGCCUUAUAUGUUUGGGCUUUGGGCUUUCCUCCACAAGAAGGAAAUAACCCAACCCAACACGAACAAGUGCCUGAUCCUGGGACUUUCACUCUAGAAUGGAAUGACACACAAUUGGUAAUGAAACGCCGAGGGGACAUCUACUGGAGCAGUGGAAUUCUGAAAGAUCGGAGUUUUGAGUUCAUUCAAACUCACCAUAACAUCUACUAUUUCAUCAGUGUUUGUAAUGACAACGAGAUCUACUUCAGCUAUUCAGUUCAAGACGGAGCUAUUUCAAAGUGGGUAUUGAACUGGAGAGGGGGAUUUUUUGACACUUACGGAACUCUAUUCGUGAAGGAAGACAUGUGUGAUCGUUAUGGCAAAUAUCCAGGGUGUGCAGUGCAAGAGCCACCCACUUGCAGGACUAGAGACUUCCAAUUCAUGAAGCAAUCGGUUCUCAAUUCAGGAUAUCCAUCAUUAAUGAACAUAGAUACGAGCUUGGGCCUUAGUGAUUGUCAGGCUAUAUGCAGGAACAAUUGUUCUUGUACUGCUUGUAAUACUGUAUUCACCAAUGGAACUGGAUGUCAGUUUUGGAGGGAUGAAUUGCCACGAGCCCAAGUGGGUGAUGCAAAUCAGGAGGAGCUCUACGUUUUGUCCUCAUCAGAAGACAUAGGUAAGAGGCUCUAUGUAUUGCAUUCCGAGAAGUAGCCAAAACAAAGUACUUGGUAAAUCUCACAUCUUCAUCGAAUUUACAAUCCUACAAAAAAAGUCCUACUGUAUAAUCGUCUACCAUUAGAGGACCUAUAGCAAAACCAUUAAAGACCCUCUCUCUCUCUCUCUCUCUCUCUCUCGUUCUGCUCUAACAAUAAAAUUUAUUAACUUCUACCUAUGCAGGGAAGCCUUGGUGGAUAUGGAUUAUCAUUCUCGUUGUAGUAGUAUUUCUGUUCAUGUUAGCUGUCUUUUGUUGUUCACAGAGAAACUCCAGAGGUAGUAUUUUAACUUUUGUAGAUAAUAGCAAUGCCAUUUGUUAAUGGGUUGGAUAAUUGGACUUGUGGCUUCUGGUAUAACAGGGAGAGUAAGGAGAGAAGUUCAGUUACAUGAAGUUGGGCCUUCUGGUACAACAGGGGAUAGAGAGGGGAAGAAAGGUCAGCCACGUGAUGUUGUGGUUCCUGGUGGUAAAACAGCGGAUAAAAAAAAGAAGAAAGUUACGUUCCUGUUGCGUACAGACGAGUGACGAGAGGCCUGAAAUCUCAGAUGUUUGCUCCAUGCUUAACAGCAAAACUGGGGACCUACCCAACCCAAAUCCACCCCCAUUUUGCACUUAAGGCGAGCCAGGGAGUUGUUCUGCUCUGCUACUUGAGAGAUGGAAGGCGGGUCAAGAUGAGAUGAGAAUUUGAUUCCCUCGUUGUAAGCUUUUCUUUAUUUACGUUUUGUUAAUUUAUAAUAAGAUGACAACUGAACUGAAGCUAGUUUUGUGAUCAUUUGGAACAUAUUUGUACCCAUGUAUUCUGGAGCUCUAUUUGCCCUUUUGCUCUCCAAAACAUCUUAUGAUAUACGUCUAUCUAUAUCCAUCUCAGCCAAAGUAGGCCAUAUAUAUGUUCUAUAAUUCAUUAUUUGCCAUUGAAUAGAUGAUCAAAACACAAGGUGGCAACAGUGUGCAUGUGAUUUAUGUCUUACAGUCAAGAGGAAAUCUACUCACAGUAAAAUUAUUCAAACAUUACUUAACAUCAACUAAGCAGACUAAAACAUAGAAACAUGAUUUAUAACAUUUGUCACCCGUCACAGAAAGAUAAAUGUCUUCAUGAGGAUGCAUAAUAUAAAUAGCUUGAAGGUUGCUUCCCAAACUUUUAAUACCAGAGCAUGCAUCUAAGCAACAAGCAGAAAACAUCAUCCUAGCCACUCAACAGGCCAGAUUAUCAAUGAAAUCUGAAACUGAGAACCUCGUAGGUAUAACAUCCUUCAACCAGUUAUACUAGGACCUCAAAACCCUUUAUGCAAAUCAAAAGGUUUCAGUUGAUUAUACAUUAUUUUCCUAAACUUCAAUACAUGGGAUAUUCAAAUUAUUAUUUAUGCUAAGGUCUAGUUGUCCAUUUUUGGACAGAUAUGUUCAUAUACAGAGAGAAAGAAAGGGAAAUAAAAACGAAGCCUGUUGAACGUCCUUCCACCCGGUCACCUUAUACAAAGAAGAAACUUGGAUUCAAACAAGUCUUUUGAGUUACAACUUAUACGCAAUGAUCCAAAGUGAUUUUCUGAUUUAUUUUAUUUUAUUUUACUAACAUUACUAUAGAAGGAAAAGUUUUAAUUUUACAUCCAUUCAAUCUUACCAAAUAAAUUUUUAUUUUCAAAUUUACUAAUAAUGGAAAAGAAUUGAUUUAGUAUUUAUCAACUUUACAAUUAAUUUGUAAAACAAAUUAUGUCAUUAUCAAUAUGAAUUUAUAAAAGAUUAAUGUAUCAAAUACAAAUAAAAUGAAUAAAUAAAAUUUCAAUUCAGUAUUUAAUAAUUUACAAUUAAAAUUCAAAUUCCUCUCUCAUUUUGUAAAUUGAACUAUAAAUGUAGAUUGACAAGUUAAAAAAUAAAAAUAAAAAUUAAAUAAACAAAUAGAAGUAAAAUAAAAGUAAAAACAGAAAUAAAUAAACAUAUUUGGGCUAAGAGUGAGUGGACCUACUCUCUAUCCGAGGAAAUAUAAAUGGGCUUAAAAUUGGCUCAAAGUGAAUGUUGAAGAAUGAAUGUGCCUAUGAUGUCCUUAGUUAGGAUAAAUUUGGGUUCCAUAGAGUAUGUUUGCUUCCCCAAAGUUUGGGGGAAAAUGCAAGGCCAAAAAAAUAAAGAAGAAAAAUGAGAGAAAAUAAAAUAAAAUGAAAAUAAUUUUAAAAUUAAUAAAUUAUUUUUAUAUCUUAUUUCAAAUUCAAUUUAUUUAUAUGUAUUUUAUAUAAAGAUUAAAUAAUUUAAAAAUAUGGAAAUUUCUUACUAAUUUUUAUUACAUUUGACUUUUUUUUUUAUUAUUAACCAAACAUAAAAAAAUAAAAAAAAUAAAAAAUUACAUUUUUAAUAUUAUUUUUUUUUCUUAGUGUUUUUUGAACCACACAUAGUUUUAGUAUAAUGCAUAUAUUCUUACAUAAACAGUUGUCUUAUUUUAAAAUUUUUAUACGAGGUGUCAAUGUAAAAAUUUUUAAUGGCAAUACCUUUUACCAAGUUGAGCUGCAAGACCCAACAUUGGAGGGGGAGCAUUCUGAUUGUGAGGGGGUUACCUUACCGAGGUCGGCAUUGUAAGAUUCAGUACACUUGACGGGACACCAUUGCCAACACCAAAGGUCCACCCUUCGGUGAUGCUCAAUUUUUAGCAACCUCAAGUAAGUAAAUCCUAAAUCAUGCCCUCAUCCUUUGGUAGUUUCUCCUCUUAUUUGCGAAUGGGGUCAGGGGUUGGGUUUUUUCUUCUUUAUCUUGUCAUGUGUCUGUUUGGGAGGGCCUUGCUCUUGUAGUGCACAAAGAGACAGCAUCAAACCUGGGGAAAGGAUUCAAUUCACGAAGCUACUGGUUUCGGCACAAAGGACUUUCACACUGGGGUUCUUUAGCUUGGACACCCGCAGUUAUUUAGGAAUCUGGUACACAAGUGAUGUUGACAACAAGAAAGUUUGGGUUGCUAACA
rnacentral:lncRNA from 1 species